rnacentral:ncRNA from 1 species
UUACGAACAGGGCAAACUAUCUUGAAAGAGAUGGGACGCAAAGCUUCCGGCCUAAAAGUUUAUUUACAUAAGCUCAUGGUAGCGGGGUUGCCGAU